rnacentral:rRNA from 1 species
UACGUAGGGUCCGAGCGUUAUCCGGAAUGAUUGGGCGUAAAGCGUCCGCAGGUGGCAGUUCAAGUCUGCUGUCAAAGACCGGGGCUUAACUUCGGAAAGGCAGUGGAAACUGAACAGCUAGAGUAUGGUAGGGGCAGAGGGAAUUCCUGGUGUAGCGGUGAAAUGCGUAGAGAUCAGGAAGAACAUCGGUGGCGAAGGCGCUCUGCUGGACCAUAACUGACACUCAGGGACGAAAGCUAGGGGAGCGAAUGGG